rnacentral:rRNA from 1 species
AUGUGCCAACUCUUCGUCAUCUCCUUUGGCUUGACUCGACGGGUUUUGAAAACUCUUCAUGCUAUGACGACACUCUCAAGACAUGGAUUUGGAUUAUCACUUUUUUCUAGUGUUACACUUCUUCAAAUGCAAUGCUAUUGCAUAGAGGAGGUGUUAGGAAGUAUUAAUAUUGCUCCAGGAGUCCUUAUUAGUCUAUGUUUACUUUCCUUGCACCUCAAGUCUUGUGUAAUAUAUAUAGGGAAAUUCAUCCUACCACCUAGGGGUAGUUACCCCACAUGUCUCAUAUACUACCAUGUGGUAGUAUAUAUUUUACUUUAG